rnacentral:rRNA from 1 species
UGGGGAAUAUUGCACAAUGGGCGAAAGCCUGAUGCAGCAACGCCGCGUGAGUGAUGAAGGUCUUCGGAUUGUAAAGCUCUGUCUUUUGGGACGAUAAUGACGGUACCAAAGGAGGAAGCCACGGCUAACUACGUGCCAGCAGCCGCGGUAAUACGUAGGUGGCGAGCGUUGUCCGGAUUUACUGGGCGUAAAGGGUGCGUAGGCGGAUGUUUAAGUGAGAUGUGAAAUACCCGGGCUUAACUUGGGUGCUGCAUUUCAAACUGGAUAUCUAGAGUGCAGGAGAGGAGAAUGGAAUUCCUAGUGUAGCGGUGAAAUGCGUAGAGAUUAGGAAGAACACCAGUGGCGAAGGCGAUUCUCUGGACUGUAACUGACGCUGAGGCACGAAAGCGUGGGUAGCAAACAGGAUUAGAUACCCCUG